rnacentral:rRNA from 1 species
GGCUCCUUCGGGAGUACACGAGCGGCGUAAGGGAGAGUUACGCGUGGUUUACCUGCCCUAGGGUCCAGAAUAGCUUCGGGAAACUGAAGGUAAUGCUGGAUAAUAUCUCCGGAUCAAAGGUGAGAUUCCGCCCUAGGAGGGGACCGCGUUCUAUUAGCUUGUUGGUGGGGUAAAGGCCUACCAAGGCUUUGAUGGAUACCGGGUGUGAGAGCAUGGCCCGGCUCACUGGGACUGAGACACUGCCCAGACACCUACGGGUGGCUGCAGUCGAGAAUCUUCGGCAAUGGGCGAAAGCCUGACCGAGCGACGCCGCGUGUGGGAUGAAGGCCUUCGGGUUGUAAACCACUGUCAGUUGGGAGGAAAUCUAUGGGGGCUAUCCCCCAUAGUUGACCUAUCUUCAGAGGAAGGACGGGCUAAGUUCGUGCCAGCAGCCGCGGUAAUACGAACCGUCCAAACGUUAUUCGGAAUCAUUGGGCUUAAAGGGUGCGUAGGCGGCGUGGUCAGUUGGGUGUGAAAUCCCUCGGCUCAACCGAGGAACUGCGCCCAAUACUGCCACACUCGAGGGAGACAGAGGUAAGCGGAACUGAUGGUGGAGCGGUGAAAUGCGUUGAUAUCAUCA